GCCCUUCCUACGGGAGGCAGCAGUGGGGAAUAUUGCACAAUGGGGGAAACCCUGAUGCAGCCAUGCCGCGUGUGUGAAGAAGGCCUUCGGGUUGUAAAGCACUUUCAGCGAGGAGGAAAGGUUGGUAGCUAAUAACUGCCAGCUGUGACGUUACUCGCAGAAGAAGCACCGGCUAACUCCGUGCCAGCAGCCGCGGUAAUAAGGGC
rnacentral:rRNA from 1 species